rnacentral:rRNA from 1 species
AUGUCGUUCCUGGGAACUAGUGGGUUCGGGUUCUUACAACGAGCCAAACGCAAGAAUGGUCUCUCGGGAUGGGUCCGGUCCAUUACGUUCCAUCCCAUGACAGAAAGCAAACACACCCUUAGACCUCUAUUCCUUCGUGUUUCUUUGACUGAUGCUAUUAAAAUGUCUGCUUAUGCUAAGUAUAUGAAUGAUAUUGUCGCUAACAAAAGAAAAAUACCUAAAGCUGAAAUAUCUACUAUGCUUGCUAAUUAUUCAUCCAAACGGAGGAUACCUGAAAGAUUCAGAGAUACCUACUCUCGAAAAAAAUCCAGAGAUACCUACUAUACCUUGCUCUAUUAA